GGGCCUCUUGCCAUCGGAUGUGCCCAGAUGGGAUUAGCUAGUAGGUGGGGUAACGGCUCACCUAGGCGACGAUCCCUAGCUGGUCUGAGAGGAUGACCAGCCACACUGGAACUGAGACACGGUCCAGACUCCUACGGGAGGCAGCAGUGGGGAAUAUUGCACAAUGGGCGCAAGCCUGAUGCAGCCAUGCCGCGUGUAUGAAGAAGGCCUUCGGGUUGUAAAGUACUUUCAGCGGGGAGGAAGGGAGUAAAGUUAAUACCUUUGCUCAUUGACGUUACCCGCAGAAGAAGCACCGGCUAACUCCGUGCCAGCAGCCGCGGUAAUACGGAGGGUGCAAGCGUUAAUCGGAAUUACUGGGCGUAAAGCGCACGCAGGCGGUUUGUUAAGUCAGAUGUGAAAUCCCCGGGCUCAACCUGGGAACUGCAUCUGAUACUGGCAAGCUUGAGUCUCGUAGAGGGGGGUAGAAUUCCAGGUGUAGCGGUGAAAUGCGUAGAGAUCUGGAGGAAUACCGGUGGCGAAGGCGGCCCCCUGGACGAAGACUGACGCUCAGGUGCGAAAGCGUGGGGAGCAAACAGGAUUAGAUACCCUGGUAGUCCACGCCGUAAACGAUGUCGACUUGGAGGUUGUGCCCUUGAGGCGUGGCUUCCGGAGCUAACGCGUUAAGUCGACCGCCUGGGGAGUACGGCCGCAAGGUUAAAACUCAAAUGAAUUGACGGGGGCCCGCACAAGCGGUGGAGCAUGUGGUUUAAUUCGAUGCAACGCGAAGAACCUUACCUGGUCUUGACAUCCACGGAAGUUUUCAGAGAUGAGAAUGUGCCUUCGGGAACCGUGAGACAGGUGCUGCAUGGCUGUCGUCAGCUCGUGUUGUGAAAUGUUGGGUUAAGUCCCGCAACGAGCGCAACCCUUAUCCUUUGUUGCCAGCGGUCCGGCCGGGAACUCAAAGGAGACUUGGAGUCUGCAACUCGACUCCAUGAAGUCGGAAUCGCUAGUAAUCGUGGAUCAGAAUGCCACGGUGAAUACGUUCCCGGGCCUUGUACACACCGCCCGUCACACCAUGGGAGUGGGUUGCAAAAGAAGUAGGUAGCUUAACCUUCGGGAGGGCGCUUACCACUUUGUGAUUCAUGACUGGGGUGAAGUCGUAACAAGGUAACCGUAGGGGAACCUGCGGUUG
rnacentral:rRNA from 1 species